UUUUAUAAAAUGGGUUAUAAGAGCUAACAUCUCUUCAAGUUGGGAUGAAGGACACUGAUGAAGGUCUUCAUGAGUCAUGUUCAGUGGGGUGAUGAAGGUCGUCAUGUUCAGUGGGGUGAUGAAGGUGUAAUGAUAUAAAUACUUACAAAGGCACUGUAUAUGAGGCCUUGUCUUUGUAGAAAGUUGAAUCUGUGCUUGAAAUGCGAUACUAGACUGAGGGACUUUCCAGAUGUUGUAUGUAUGGGGGACCGGUCCAAUUUGACAUUACAGAGUAUUUUCAGUAGACUGUUGACAAAACAUUACAAUUAAAUCCAUCUUAAUCCCACUAUGUAACACAAUAGAGAAAUCCAAGGGGUAUGAACACUUUUGCAAGGCUCUGUAUGUUAUGUAGAAUAGACAAUCGUGUCAGCCAGGGUAGGCGUCAAUUCCAAAUAAAUCAGUCAAUUCAGGAAGUAAACUGAAAUUCCAAUUCAAUAACUGGAAAAGGGCAUCUACUUUUUACUCUCAGUGACUUCUCAAUAAACCGAAUAGGAAUUUCAUUUUUAUUUUUUGACUGACUUCAAUUGGAAUUGCCUACAACCCUGGAGUCGGCUCUAUUCAAGAAAUGCCUAUCAGAGGAAUGGUAACUGGAGAGACUGCAAGAUGUAGAAACAGCUGCUGUUAACCCUAAAACCAUAUUAAUUUAAUUGCCCCCCCCUUAAGCAUUAAUACUCCUUGGGAUUCCUGCUGAGGAGUUUCUGAAGAAACACAGGGCUGAACUCAUUCAGGGAGUCAAAAACACAAAGCCAAUAGCAGAUGUUCUGUCAUCAAAGUACAUGAUUGGUGAUGAAGAGUACUCCAGAAUAAAAGCUGAAACAACUGAACAGGAGCGAAUGAGAGAACUACUGAACGCAGUCCUCCCUAAAGGACAAGAAGUGACGGGAGCUUGUCUAAAAGCUCUCAGUGAACAUGAACACCAUCUUGUUAAGUACUUGAGUGAAUCUAGCACCUAAUCUGAAGAUAAUGAGGCCUGUCUCCUAGUCUUUGGACAAAGACACUUCACCUAAUCUGAAGAUGCUGAGGCCUGUCUCCUAGUCUUUGGACAAAGACACUUCUUCACCUAAUCUGAAGAUGCUGAGGACUGUCUUUUAGUCUGUGGACAAAGACACUUCUUCACCUAAUCUGAAGAUGCUGAGGACUGUCUUUUAGUCUGUGGACAAAGACACUUACAUGAUUGUAAGUGAAGACCCCCCCCCCGCCCCCCCGAAAUGGAUAAAAAUUAAUGGGAACAUAUUGGCACUGUACGAAACAUAUGCACGGUGUCCAAUACCACUCAAAUAUACGCCAUUUCAUUCAAAGCUUAUGGCAAAUGUCAUAGGGCAAAUGCCAAGUGUCAUACAGCAAAAAUCCAAAAGAUGGCGAGCGCGCUCCACCGUAGAUUUUCAUAUUGCAAAUGCACAUCAAGACCCAAGAGUCAAAUGUUGAUGUACCACCCCCCUAAAAAAGAGCUUUCUGGACCGUUUUGUCAAUUAUACAUGUAUAAGAACUGUAUGAACAUACUUUUGUCAUAUUUUAUUGUCAUAAUAAAAAAAUUAAAAAAAUGUUUUACUUG